rnacentral:rRNA from 1 species
CACGUAGGCGGUCGAGCAAGUCCAUUGUGAAAUCCCCCGGCCUAACCGAGGAACUGCAUUGGAUACUACUGACUUGAGUGCAGGAGGGGAGAGUGGAAUUCCAGGUGGAGCGGUGAAAUGCGUAGAUAUCUGGAGGAACGCCGGCGGCGAAAGCGACUCUCUGGUCUGUAACUGACGCUGAGGUGCGAAAGCUAGGGGAGCAAACGGGAUUAGAUACCCCGGUAGUCCUAGCCCUAAACGAUGGGCACUAAGUAGGGGGAAUCCUAUAUUCUCUCUGCCGGAGUUAAUACAUUAAGUGCCCCGCCUGGGGAGUAUGGUCGCAAGGCUAAA